UUUUUUUUUUUUUUUUUUUUUUUUUUUUUGAUGGGGCUGGAUGAAAUUACCAAGGGAGAAUGGGAGAGAGGAGAAGAGUCCCAGGAGCAUUCCAAUGCUGAAUGCUGUUGAUAAAGAUAAAAACAGAGAAAUGACCAUUGUAUCAGCAGCCCAGAGGUUAUUUUUUAUUUUUUUUUUUUUUUAAAUUUAAGACCUCAAGGUCUGUUUUCCACAAUUUUUUUUUCUUUUGGUCUUUUUGCCAUUUCUUGGGCCCCUCCCGUGGCACAUAGGAGGUUCCCAGCCCUAGAAAAGACAAAAAAAAAAAAAAAAGAAGAAGAAGAAGAAAAAGAAAACAAGAAAAAAGAAAAGGAAAAGCUAUUCAAAUGGGAAAGAAAGGAAUAAAACAUUAUUUGUUCAUAGAUAACAUUAUUUUGUACAUAGUAAAUCCUAAGGAAUCUAAAGAAAAAGAGUUCCCAUUGUGGAUCAGCAGUAACAAAUGCGACUACUAGCCAUGAGGAUGUGGGUUCAAUCCCUGGUCUUGCUCAGUGGCUUAAAGGAUCCCGCGUUGCUAUGAGCUGUGGUGAAGGUCAUAGAUGCAGCUCAGAUCCUGCAUUGCUGUAGCUGUGGCAUAGGCCAAGAGCUAUGGCUCUGAUUUGACCCGCAGCCUGGGAACUCCUAUAUGCUGUGGGUGUGGGCCAAAAAAGAAAAAGAAAGGAAGGAAGGAAGGAAAGAUGGAAAGAAGGAAGGAUGAAAGAAGGAAGGAACUAAUACAGAACUAAUACAUGUCACAGGAUACAAGGCAAAUGUAAAAAACAAUCAUAUUUCUGUAAACCAACAGCAAUGUUUACAUUCCAAUAAGUAAUUGCAAAAUGAAAACAAUUUAAAUGCCAUUUAAAAUAACAUUUAAUAGUAAAAUACUGAGAUAAACUUAAAACAUAUGUACAAGACAUCCAAACUGAAAAUUACAAAACAUUGCUGAAAAAACAAACGGAAGCUCAAAUAUAUGAAGAAAUAUACCAUGUCCAUGGAAUGACUGAUGCAAGGUUAAGAUAUCAAUUCUCCCCAAAUUGAUCUAUAAAUUCAGUGCAAUUUCAGAAAAAAAAAAUUCCAGAAGCCUUUCUUAAAUUGAUAAACUGAUUCUUGUAAUCAUGUGGAAAUUGAAGGGGCCUAAAAGAGCUGAAACAAUUUUGAAUAUGAAGAACAAAAUCUGAAGAUCUAAAUCACCCAAUUUUAACACUUAAUAUACAAAGCCACAGUUGUGAAGACAGUGCAAUAGUAGCAUAAAAAUAGACAUAUAAAAAAAAGGAACAAAAUGGAGAAUCCAAAUACAGACCCACAUGUAUUUGCUCAGUUUAGGGUGAGGUUUUUCAGUGAGUGAGAGUUUGGGGGGGAAGUUUUUGUUUUGUUUUGUUUUGUUUUAAUAAAGUCACCAAGGUAAUUUGAGGAGAAAAUAAUUAUAUUUUCAACAAAUGGUACUGAACAAUUGGAUGCCAGUGUGGGAAAAAAAGAUGAACUUUGACCCUUAUUUCACAUAGCAGACAAAAAUCAAUUCCAGAUAGAUCAUAAACCAGAAUACACACAUUAAAACUAAAAAAAAACUACUAGAGAAAAACAUAAGUGAAACCCUUUGAAACCUUGAGAAAGACAAAGGUUUUAUAAAUAGAACACAUGAAAAUGAGCCAUUUCAAGGAAGUGAUUAAUUAGAAUUUUUAAAAAGUUAAAAUUUUUGCUCCUCAGAAAACACCACUAAGAAAGUGGAAAAGUCAAGUCAAAGAGUCGGAAACUUUUUGCAAUACAUAUAGCUGGCAAAGGACUUAUGUCCACAAGAUAUAAAGAAUCUUUACAUAUAUACAUUCUUUUUUCUCACAUUAUCAUGCUCCAUCAUAAAUGACUAGACAUAAUUCCCAGUGCAAUACAGCAAGAUCUCGUUGCUAAUCCAUUUCAAAGGCAAUAGUCUGCAUCCAUUAACCCCAAACUCCCAAUCCAUCCCACUUCCUCACCUUCCCCCUUGGCAACCACAAGUCUAUUUUCAAGUCCAUGAUUUACAGCAGAAAAAAAAAAUAAUGUAUUGGGGAAAUUAAAAAAAUAAUAAAUAAAUAAAAUUUAAAAAAAUAAUUUAACUGGGAAAAAAAGAAUCUUUAUAACUCAAUAGAAGAUAACUCAAUUUAAAAACAACAUGAGCAAAAGAUCUGAAAAGACACUUUAUAGAACAAGCCCAUAUAUAUGGCUAAUAAAUAUAUGGAAGGGUACUCAACAUAUUUAGUCAUCAGGGAAAAGCUAGUUGAAACAAUGAGAUACUGUGAUAAGCCACUACAAUUGUUAACAUUAAGGAGAAUGAUAGUACCAAUUGUUGAUGUGAAUGUGGAGCAACUGGAACUAUUAUACAUUAUUUAUGCAGUGUAAAAUGAUACAAUCAUAGUGGAGAAGUCACUGGAGAAUCUUUGACCCAGCAAUUGCACGGUCAGUUAUUUAUCAAAGAGAACUAAAAAUGUGUGUUUACAGGAGUUCCCAUUGUGGCUCAGCGGAAACAAACCCCACUAGUAUCCAUGAGGAUGCAGGUUCAAUUCCUGGCCCCGUUCAGUGGGUUAAGGAUCCAGUGUUGCCCGUGAGCUGUGGUGUAGGUCACAGACAUGGCUUGGAUCUGGCGUUGCUGUGGUUGUGGUGUAGGCUGGCAGCUAUAGCUCUGAUUCAACCCCUAGCCUGGGAACUUCCAUAUGCUGCAGGAGUGGCACUUAAAAAAAAAAAAAAAAAGUGUGUUUAUAAAACCUUAAAUAUUCAAAGAUGAAAGGAUAAAUUGUUGUAUAGCCAUACAAUGGGGUACCACUGAAUAAUUAAAAAAAUGAAUUACUAAUACAUGCAACAACAUAGCUAAAUCUCUAAACCAUUAUGCUAAGCAAAAUAACAGAAUCAAGAGAGUACAUACCAAAGGAGUCCAUUUAUAUAAAAUGUUAGAAUAAGCAAAAUUAACUCAGAAAACAAAUCAGUAGUUGCCUGGAGUGAGGAAUUAGGAGCUAGACUGC
rnacentral:lncRNA from 1 species